AUGAUUCCUUUAUAUCUGAGUACUAUGGAGAUGGGCUGUGAACUUACCAGAACAAGGAAGGGGAUGCCCGAGACUGAGACGAUGACGGUGGUCGCGACACACAGCUGCAGGAGUGGACAACAGAGACAAACACUCCCUUGGAUUCGUCGUGAUUCUGGAAUGGGAGGCAGGUCACUGCCGCUACCGCCCAUGAAGCUGACGAUGAUCACGUGGCCGUCAUGCAGCGGCGAGGUGGCGGUUGUGGAGGGGAAGGGGGAGGUGAGGGGAGACGCGCGGGCGAAAACCCACACGGCGGAGGAAGGGGAUGCCUCAGGUGGCGACGGUCAUGACGGUCACUAUAUUGUGAUAUGUUAUUUGCAUAUAAAUGAUUCAGGGGACCCCGGUUUGUCGUUUAGAUUUCUCCAAUUGUUCGAAGAUGGGGCCCAUCUCUUUCUAAACUGCAAAGAAGUGAAGGAGCAAUGGUAUGCCUUGCUGCUGGAGGAAAUCCGGAUUAGAGUGUAA
rnacentral:rRNA from 1 species